UGACACUGAACAUUGAGCCUUGAUGUGUAGGAUAGGUGGGAGGCUUUGAAGCGUGGACGCCAGUCUGCGUGGAGCCAACCUUGAAAUACCACCCUUUAAUGUUUGAUGUUCUAACGUUGGCCCCUUACCGGGGUUGCGGACAGUGUCUGGUGGGUAGUUUGACUGGGGCGGUCUCCUCCCAAAGCGUAACGGAGGAGCACGAAGGUUAGCUAAUCCUGGUCGGACAUCAGGAGGUUAGUGCAAUGGCAUAAGC
rnacentral:rRNA from 1 species